UGGGGAAUUUUGGACAAUGGGCGAAAGCCUGAUCCAGCAAUGCCGCGUGUGUGAAGAAGGCCUUCGGGUUGUAAAGCACUUUUGUCCGGAAAGAAAUCCUUGGCUCUAAUACAGUCGGGGGAUGACGGUACCGGAAGAAUAAGCACCGGCUAACUACGUGCCAGCAGCCGCGGUAAUACGUAGGGUGCAAGCGUUAAUCGGAAUUACUGGGCGUAAAGCGUGCGCAGGCGGUUUGCUAAGACCGAUGUGAAAUCCCCGGGCUCAACCUGGGAACUGCAUUGGUGACUGGCAGGCUAGAGUAUGGCAGAGGGGGGUAGAAUUCCACGUGUAGCAGUGAAAUGCGUAGAGAUGUGGAGGAAUACCGAUGGCGAAGGCAGCCCCCUGGGCCAAUACUGACGCUCAUGCACGAAAGCGCGGGGAGCAAACAGGAUUAGAUACCCUGGUAGUCCACGCCCUAAACGAUGUCAACUAGUUGUUGGGGAUUCAUUUCCUUAGUAACGUAGCUAACGCGUGAAGUUGACCGCCUGGGGAGUACGGUCGCAAGAUUAAAACUUAAAGGAAUUGACGGGGUCAUAGCUGUUUCCU
rnacentral:rRNA from 1 species